CAGCAGCCGCGGGAAAACGGAGGGAGCUAGCGUUGUUCGGAAUUACUGGGCGUAAAGCGCACGUAGGCGGCUUUGUAAGUUAGAGGUGAAAGCCUGGAGCUCAACUCCAGAACUGCCUUUAAGACUGCAUCGCUUGAAUCCAGGAGAGGUGAGUGGAAUUCCGAGUGUAGAGGUGAAAUUCGUAGAUAUUCGGAAGAACACCAGUGGCGAAGGCGGCUCACUGGACUGGUAUUGACGCUGAGGUGCGAAAGCGUGGGGAGCAAACAGGAUUAGAUACCCCCGUAGUCCCUGUCUCUUAUAC
rnacentral:rRNA from 1 species